CAAACAUAUAUUCUGCCCCAUGUUUAUUAUUGUGCUGUAUCGGACAUUUUAGAUUGGAAAAUGUGCUACAACAGAUCAGUAAUAGUCACAGAUCUACACACAACAAAUGUAGGUCCACUAGGAAAAUAAUUCCUCCUCACAACUUUAACCGUAUUUGACAUUUCUACUAACAACAUAACUUUAUUUCCUACCCUUUGCCUUAAGAUUACCUUUCUGAAACCAGUAUCAGAUCUCUAAAAUAGCCUGGUACUUCCUCUAAAAUCCUUCACUAGUUCAUAGGCAGUCAGAUCUUUCUAACAUUCCUUUUUUCCCCAUUUUCUAAGGAAAAUCUGAACUGUAGAUUUUUAAAAACAAAAACAAACACUUUUUUUGGCCUGUAACCCACAAUAAGGAAUAUGUUUUACAAGGUAAUCUAACACAUAUACACAUGAACAAAUGUUUACUUAAAAACACAUACCCUUACCAUCUGUGAUGUACGCUUUUAUUUUCUAUUCUUUUCUCUAUUUUAAAUAAAAAAUGCUAGUCAUAAUGCAAUAAAUUAAUGUGGUCCUUUAUGUAAGGCCUUCUAGCCUCAGAAACACACACCUUUUGAAUUAGCGUGCCUGGUACCCAUUUGUGCCCAAUAAAUACUUGCUGAAUGAACUUUUCCAAUAGUGCUGGAUUUGCUCUGAGCCAACCAAAUUCUCACUUUUAAUGUAUUUUGAAAGACAGAGGACGACAAGAUGAAGAAUGCAGUUUGAGACUCAGAAGAGCAAACAUAAUCGGCCCAGUAUGGAUAUGAUCAUUUGAUGCACUGUCCUCGGGCAUGCUCAUUUACAGAAGCCUAAAAACAAAUUUUAUCCCUCAUUUGUGGGUUUCUGGUGUUGUGGAGGGCUUUCCAAUGUUUAGAAGCAAUAUAUUUUUAUAGAAUUCUGUAAUAAACGUGUUUUAAAUCUUUUAUAAAGCUCUCUGUAGCAUAUAAGUACAUAUUAAAGACAGAAAUGGGGGAGCAUCAAGGCCCUUAUAAUCGCAUUCAUUCCUUAACCACAUACUACGCAUCUACUGUGUGGCAUUCUAGGCGGGGGCCGUAACACCAGUGCAGAAAAACACAACCUCUUGUCCUCUUAGAGCUUACAUUGCACUGGGGAAGGAGAGAUAAGAAGAUAAACAAGUAUGGAUAUGUAGACUGUCCAAAGGAUAAAAUGAGAAGGGGGCUAGGGAACUUUCAGUUUAAAAGUAGCCGCGGAAGCACCGAGUGACACGAGCAAAAUCCUGAAGGUGAAGGAGCAAGCCCUGUGGACGACGCUCAGGGAAGAGUCCUACUCGCAAGGAUGCCAGGGCAGGCCCGCCCCCACCCUCAACGGCGCGCGGGGACUUCUGCCGCAGUCAAGGCUUUGGCUCACUCCCCUCAAGACGGGAAGCCAUUCGCAGGGCCUAGAGAAAAGGAGUGACAGGAUCUUGGCCCCCUGAGUGGCCUGAGGCAAAAGGAAUAAUCUAAGCAAGUUUUCCUACUUACUUUUAGCGCACUGGUACACACACAAAUACACAAUACAAUUCAUAUAACACGAAUUUCGUCCCGGUUGAGUAAAAUUCCGCUUACCUACUGCACUUUUUACCGAAAAUAGCCCCUUUUUAAUUUACACAAACUUAAUAGAGAACGGUGGAACAAUGGUUACUUCUUGUUUUACAAUUUAAAAACUACAACAACCAUAGUACUGUACGUAUAAUCACAUAUUGUAUUCCAGCCUUGUCCAGCGCCUCAGUUUUCCGAACCUAAAGAGGAAAACGAUGUUUGAAAUCAGCUGGCCGCAGGCCCGCGGGUCGCCCGCAGUCACCGGUGGCUGAGUCGGGGCCGGCGGUUCUCCCCGCGCGCUCGGCUCCACCCACACCUAGAGGGGGGCGCCCGGGCAGCCGCGGGCGAGCUUCUCGCUCGCGCAGCGUCGCCUACAGGCCUUUAUCCUGACCGUUAGAGAAGAACCCAAACCUCUGCCGACAAAAAGCAAAAGCAGCGGAGACCGCGUAUUUCCAGAAAUAAACGCAUCAUCACAAACACGAUUCCAAUUCAAUCCAGCCGACAGUCGUCUUCACCUCCAAAGGUUGCGUUCUUAUUCGCAGAAAUAACACGCAGUCGGGCGUAAGGUCCCGGCUCUCAAAAGGCAAGGUGUACGAUCCAUCCAUCCACCCGGCUGCAGGGACACCAUUUAAAACGGGCAUCAUCGCCAUCGAAUCGCGGGCGUCCUCUGUGGGGCCGCCCGGAGAUCGGCUCCCUAAAGCUAACGACGACCUGGGACAGCCAGCGCGGCCUCCAGCCGCCGCCGUCGGCGACCUGAGAGCCCGUCCGGGCCUGAGUGCCCCCCACGCUCACGACCACCACCGAACUCGGGCCCCGCUCCUGUCGGCCUCCAGGAAAAUAAAGACAGAGGAGAGCCGGCC
rnacentral:lncRNA from 1 species